GAUGAAGAACGUAGCGAAAUGCGAUACGUAAUGUGAAUUGCAGAAUUCAGUGAAUCAUCGAAUCUUUGAACGCAUAUUGCGCUCUUUGGUAUUCCGAAGAGCAUGCUUGUUUGAGUAUCAGUAAACACCUCAAAACUUUUUUUUUUUUUAAAAAAACAGUUUUGGACUUGAGCAAUCCCAACACCAAUCUUUUUUAGAUCGGUGGCGGGUUGCUUGAAAUGCAGGUGCAGCUGGACAUUCUCCUGAGCUAAAAGCAUAUUUAUUUAGUCCCGUCAAACGGAUUAUUACUUUUGCUGCAGCUAAUAUAAAGGGAGUUUGACCGUUUUGGCUGACUGAUGCAGGAUUUCACAAGGGUCGGCAACGAUUCUUGUAAAACUCGAUCUCAAAUCAAGUAAGACUACCCGCUGAACUUAAGCAUAUCAACGGAGGA
rnacentral:misc_RNA from 1 species